UGCGAACUGCGGGGCCCGGCGUCUCUGCGCUCGGGGACGCGCUCUACGGUGGAGCGGGACGUCAGCCGCUCGGGUGCAGCGGGGAACUUCCAGGGCGCCUCAGUAGGCGGGAGGGC
rnacentral:lncRNA from 1 species